UACGGGGGGGGCUAGCGUUGCUCGGAAUCACUGGGCGUAAAGGGUGCGUAGGCGGGUCUUUAAGUCAGGGGUGAAAUCCUGGAGCUCAACUCCAGAACUGCCUUUGAUACUGAAGAUCUUGAGUUCGGGAGAGGUGAGUGGAACUGCGAGUGUAGAGGUGAAAUUCGUAGAUAUUCGCAAGAACCCCAGUGGCGAAGGCGGCUCACUGGCCGAUACUGACGCUGAGGCACGAAAGCGUGGGGAGCAAACAGG
rnacentral:rRNA from 1 species